rnacentral:rRNA from 1 species
CAGCCGCCGCGGGAAUACGAAGGGUGCAAGCGUUAAUCGGAAUUACUGGGCGUAAAGCGCGCGUAGGUGGUUCAUUAAGUUGGAUGUGAAAGCCCUGGGCUCAACCUGGGAACUGCAUUUGUGACUGGCAGGCUAGAGUAUGGCAGAGGGGGGUGGAAUUCCGCGUGUAGCAGUGAAAUGCGUAGAUAUGCGGAGGAACACCGAUGGCGAAGGCAGCCCCCUGGGCCAAUACUGACGCUCAUGCACGAAAGCGUGGGGAGCAAACAGGAUUAGAUACCCCCGUAGUCCCUGUCUCUUAUAC